rnacentral:lncRNA from 1 species
CGCUUCUCCAUAACGAUUGUUUAAAACCGAAGGAACAACACAAAAGCAGCAUAUAUCCUGAGAUGGUGAUAUCUAAGUCGAUGAUCCUUGAGCACAGUAAUGAGGAGACCUGUGUGGUCUGGGGCAGACAGUACACAUCAAGGUUUGUAGGACAAAUGGCUUGUGCUUGGCCUUCUUCUUUUUUUCAACUUCCUUUCCCUGAAAUGACAAACAGUGACAGAACUAGGAAGACCGAGGCUUCAGUUCACGGUUAUCGUCACAAAGAUGUGAGUUACAGGAAGUGGAUGCCAGUCACAGCUGGUGCAGGGCCAGUUGCAGAAGGAAGCUUUAGGGUACAACCUGAGUUUAAUUUUAGAGGAAAACAAAUACACAAGACAAAUACUUCAUGUUACCAAUUUCUCUCUUAAAAAAAAAUCAGUUACGAUUUUAAUGAAAUUGAAUGAGCUCUUCUUGCUCAGAGUAAAUAUGUGCUCAAAACCCAAAACAAAUCAGUCAUUUGAGAGAAAUUCUUUCCAUUUCUAAGCCUACAGAUUUGUUGACCACACCAUGUAGGCGUGGCUAGGGUCUCUGCCAGCAUAUCAGAAGGUUGAAAUCAAGGUGUUGGCUGAACUGAGUUCUCAUCUGGAGGCUGUAGGGGAAAAAAACCCUCCUUGAAGCUUGUUCUUAUUGUUGGCAGAAUUCAGUUCCUUGAGCUCUAAGACUGAGGACUGAAUGUUAUUUUCAUGCUGACUGUCAGCCAGUGGCUACAGGCUGCCCGAAUUCCUUGCUGUGUGACUUCCUCCAUCUUCAAGCCUGCAGUGGUAUGCUGAAUCCUCAUGCUCCAAAUUUCUGUCUCCCUCUUCUGCGAUGAGCCAGAGAAAACUCUUUGCUUUUAAAGAGCUCACGUGAUUCGGUCAGGCCGACCAGGAUAAUCUCUCUAUCUGAAGGUCAGCUGUGCUAUGUAAUAUAACCUAGUCGUGGGAGUAAAAUCCAUCAUAUUCACAGUCCUGGGGAUUAUACAGUGUGUUUACACUAAGCAUGGGGACCUUGGGGAACAUCUUUGAAUUCUGCCUACCACACUCAGCUUCAAGAGUUAUCAACCCAUGGCCCAUCUUGUUUCAUUUUGUUGCAGGAUGGGCUCCCUGGGAAGCAGGCUCUGAGAUGAAGCUUAGCUUGCGGGAAGUAUAGUGGGAGUGACUUGAGGAUCACCUUUGGGCAAGGGAGGAGAAGGAAGCAGGAUGGGGAAGAGGGAGCUCUGAAGCUGGGAUGGUCCUUCAAACGUGUCCCAAGGUGGGCAACUCUACAUGGACAAAACCCUGGAUGUGGGCUGCUCCAGGCAGGGGUUCACUGAGGGUCAGGUACUCCCUGAGGGUACUGACAGAGACAGGGCGUCUCUUGGCCACACAUCAGCAGGUGAGGGGGUAAACUUCUCAUUUCUGAUGGGUACAUGACAGCGAUUGCAUGGCACUGCCCUUCUAUACCCCUCUCACUUCCACUCAUCCAGCAACAUUUUGAAUUAAAUCCCAGACAUCAUAUUACUUCAUCUAUAAACAUUUCAGUAUGUGCCUUCAAAACACAAAGAACUAUGGUAUCAUUAUCUCACCGAAAUUAAAUUAAUAAUUCAUAUUAUAAAAAUGCAGCUACAGAUGGCAAUUAGACUUUGGGUGGUGAACCCAAGGUGGUCUACAAGAAAUUGAAAUAUAAUGAUGUACACCCGAAAUUAAAAAAAUAAAUAAAAAUGCAGGCGCUGGCCCCGUGGCCGAGUGGUUAAGUUGGCACGCUCCGCUGCAGGCAGCCCAGUGUUUCAUUGGCGCGGGUGUGGACAUGGCACUGCUCAUCAAACCACGCUGAGGUGGCGUCCCACAUGCCACAACUAGAAGGACCCACAACCAAGUAUAUACAACUAUGUACCAGGGAGCCUUGGGGAGAAAAAGGAAAAAAAUAAAAUCUUAAAAAAAAAAAAAAAUGCACUUAGUGCCAAAAUUUUAAAUUGUCUCAUAAAUGUCAUAACUUUCUCUCUGUCUGUUUCUCUGUAGUUUGCUUGUCUGGGGAACUGGAAUUGGCCACCCCAAGAUUUGUCUCUUUGGUAUGAGGAUUAUUUUGGGCUGGUUACUUUUAAAAACUGCAGACAUGAGAGAAACUCUGAAAAGCAGAAGUUACCCUUUGCAAGAGACAUUUAUUUGUAAGGGAAAUCUCCAUCUGUAGAGGUGUCUCCCUCUUUGUACCAGGAAGAAGGGGGGAUGACCUUAUCUCUAGAAACUCUUAAUCAAUGCAGAAGUCAAUGACGUAAAUCUGCAUACUAACCUGACUCCUGUUUACUGUGCUUUUCUGGUAAUCUCCCAUUACUGUCUCCUCCCACCCCCAACAUCCUCUUUUGUCUUUAGCUGAGGAUUGUAUUUAGGAUGGUGGCUUCUGCCAUUUUGAUAAACAUCCCUGGGAAGAAGAAUAUGAAUUCAAGGAGGAAAAGGAAUGAUGCAAAAUUUCAGAACCAAUAAGAAGAGUUUCUGUCAUUUCAAAGUAGGUGAUGGUGGGGAUCAAUUGCGUUUGUAUUCGAUUCCAUCAGUGCCUUUAUAAGAGUUAUAAAGCAAGUUGAUCUUCAAAUGUUAAUAUUUACAACCUACUGGAAAGUACAUCCUUUGCAACCAUUUAAACUUGUCAGGAAAUAUUUUAGAUGUCAAUUGAAAUGCAUAAGGCAGUAUAUGUGUUACUGAACACAAACACAGAUUCUUUUACCUGCCACACAGUAGGGCCGAUAAGUGAAACGUCAGGCAUGUGGCAAGGAAAGAAGUUUACUAUCAAAGGCAGCCAGAUGAAGACAUGGGAGUUAGAGCUCAGAUCCACCUCCUGGAAGGAAAAAAGAUAGGGGUUUUUAUUUGAGGUUUUGGGUUGGAGAGGAGGAGUAUGUGGCAUUGCAGGUUGGUACCUUCCCGCCAGCCUGUGUUGGGCCUUGUGAGGCUGCUUGCAGAGAGGUGGAUAGCUAGAUAAGGGAAUCAAAAGGUGGCUAUUCUUGGUUGUCUGCCUCAGUGAUGGCUGGUGGAUUUUGGCCCCAGGAAGCACAGGAGUUGGGGUCUGGGAAGCUUCAGGGUCUUGAUAUCCUCUGGACAUCAGUUUCCCUGUAAUAAAACUUUAAGGACCCAAAUUAGCCAAGACUCUAGUGUGAGCCCAGCGUGAGGCCAUCUGGGCUUUUAACAAUUUGUAACUCCUGUUUGCCGUAAUUUCAACAUUAGCUUCAUGCACAUGUGAAACUAAAGGUUAAAGAAACUGAUAUUUACAUAAGAAUGUACCUAAAGAAGCAGGGAAGGGG